ACAGUGUCGCAAUAGUAAUUCAACCUAGUACGAGAGGAACCGUUGAUUCACACAAUUGGCCAUCACGCUUGGUUGAAAAGCUAGUGGCGCGAAGCUACCAUGUGUUGGAUUAUGACUGAACUCCUCUAAGUCAGAAUCCAGGCUAGAAGCGACGCAUGCGCUUGCUGUCCGCUUGCCGACCCGCAGUAGGGGCCUAUGGCCCCCAAGGGCACAUGUCGUUUGCUAAAUCAUCGCGACGAAAGCUUCGUGGUGACCACCUUGAAGUACAAUUUCCAUCGAGCGGUGGGUAGAAUCCUUUGCAUAGGACAUAAAUAUGCGAUGGGGUAUUGUAAGUGGCAGAGUGGCCUUGCUGUGACGAUCCACUGAGAUUCAGCCCUUUGUCUCUCUGAUUC
rfam:Solanum lycopersicum cultivar Heinz 1706 chromosome 6, whole genome shotgun sequence.